rnacentral:misc_RNA from 1 species
AGCUAAAGUCGUGACCAAGGUCUCCGUUGGUGAACCAGCGGAGGGAUCAUUAUAGAGUUUUCUAAACUCCCAACCCAUGUGAACUUACCUUUUGUUGCCUCGGCAGGAGUUACUAGGGUCUUCUUAUAGGCCUGGCCUGGCCCGGUGGACCAUCUAAACUCUUGUUAUUUAUUGUAAUCUGAGCGUCUUAUUUUAAUAAGUCAAAACUCUCAUGCGCGGAUCUC